rnacentral:rRNA from 1 species
UCAGGCCUAACACAUGCAAGUCGAGCGGAAACGAGUUAUCUGAACCUUCGGGGGACGAUAACGGCGUCGAGCGGCGGACGGGUGAGUAAUGCCUAGGAAAUUGCCCUGAUGUGGGGGAUAACCAUUGGAAACGAUGGCUAAUACCGCAUAAUGCCUACGGGCCAAAGAGGGGGACCUUCGGGCCUCUCGCGUCAGGAUAUGCCUAGGUGGGAUUAGCUAGUUGGUGAGGUAAGGGCUCACCAAGGCGACGAUCCCUAGCUGGUCUGAGAGGAUGAUCAGCCACACUGGAACUGAGACACGGUCCAGACUCCUACGGGAGGCAGCAGUGGGGAAUAUUGCACAAUGGGCGCAAGCCUGAUGCAGCCAUGCCGCGUGUGUGAAGAAGGCCUUCGGGUUGUAAAGCACUUUCAGUCGUGAGGAAGGUGGUGUAGUUAAUAGCUGCAUUAUUUGACGUUAGCGACAGAAGAAGCACCGGCUAACUCCGUGCCAGCAGCCGCGGUAAUACGGAGGGUGCGAGCGUUAAUCGGAAUUACUGGGCGUAAAGCGCAUGCAGGUGGUUUGUUAAGUCAGAUGUGAAGGCCCGGGGCUCAACCUCGGAAUAGCAUUUGAAACUGGCAGACUAGAGUACUGUAGAGGGGGGUAGAAUUUCA